CAGUGGUUCCUUAACAUUUGUCAGCAUCCUUUACAUCCCUGAAAACCCUUUCAUCAGUGGGGAGGAAUUUAUCUGCAAAGCCAAAUUCAAUUCAUCGGGCAUGUCCAUGAAUCUGAGCACCACAUUGUACGCAGAAACAAGGACUUGCCAUACAAAUGACUGUCAACAUUAUACAAUACCUUUGUCUGUCAUAGGAGCACUGGCAUUUCUGCUAAUUGUGAUCUGGCUUUGGAUUCGAUGCUGUCCUUCUAGGCUUGGAGGACAUUUGCUACUCUCAUCUGGUGUUUCAUUCAAACAAUGAAUAGUGGGGGAAGACAAGACAAACAUCUUAAGAAACAGAUGUGAAGAUCUGAGCAAUCAGGGAAAACUGAUAUGCAGAAGCUAGGAUGAAAAUUAUAACUCACCUUUAGAAGCUGGGAUUAGAAACUCAGAUCUGGGGUUUUGACAGAACGUGAUUCUAAGACUUGAUUUUUCCCUUUUACAAUGUAAAUAAGUAUCUAUUUUACCCAACUACCAAUAAGGAAAAUGAGUAUUAAUAUAUUUUUGUAAUAAGGGAACUUUUCCACAUGAACCACUGGUUUUCUCACCUUUUUUGGCAAAUGGGGA
rnacentral:lncRNA from 1 species